GAUGAAGAACGCAGCGAAAUGCGAUAAGUAGUGUGAAUUGCAGAAUUCAGUGAAUCAUCGAAUCUUUGAACGCACAUUGCGCCCCUUGGUAUCCCGAGGGGCAUGCCUGUUCGAGCGUCAUUUCACCACUCAAGCCUGGCUUGGUGUUGGGCGACGUCCCCUUUUGGGACGCGCCUCGAAACGCUCGGCGGCGUGGCACCGGCUUUAAGCGUAGCAGAAUCUUUCGCUUUGGAAGUCGGGGCCCCGUCUGCCGGAAGACCUACUCGCAAGGUUGACCUCGGAUCAGGCAGGGAUACCCGCUGAACUUAAGCAUAUCAAUAAGCGGAGGA
rnacentral:misc_RNA from 1 species